UGGCUGUCGUCAGCUCGUGUCGUGAGAUGUGGGUUAAGUCCCGCAACCGAGCGUCAACCUUACCCUUAGUUGCCAGCGGGUAAGUGCCGGGCACGUCUAAGGGGACCGCCCGGAUAACGGGGAGGAAGGCGGGAGUGACGUCAAGUCAGCAUGGCCUUUACUGUCCAGGGCUACACACGUGCUACAAUGGCGAUACAGAGGGAAGCAAGGCCGCAAGGUAGAGCUAAUCCCUAAAGUCGUCCUCAGUUCGGAUUGCAGGCUGCAACUCGCCUGCAUGAAGUCGGAAUCGCUAGUAAUCGCGGAUCAGCUACGCCACGGUGAAUACGUUCCCGGGCCUU
rnacentral:rRNA from 1 species